ensembl:snRNA Gm26207 predicted gene, 26207
GUGCCCGCUUCGGCAGCACAUACACUAAAAUUGGAACGAUACAGAGAUUAGCAUGGCCCCUGCACAAGGAUGAUACUCAAAUUCGUGACGCGUUCCAUUUU